rnacentral:rRNA from 1 species
CCCUUAGAUGUUCUGGGCCGCACGCGCGCUACACUGAUACGCUCAACGAGCUCCUUGGCCGAAAGGUCCGGGUAAUCUUUGAAAUCGUAUCGUGAUGGGGAUAGAACAUUGCAAUUUUUGUUCUUCAACGAGGAAUGCCUAGUAAGCGCGAGUCAUCAUCUCGCGUUGAUUACGUCCCUGCCCUUUGUACACACCGCCCGUCGCUCCUACCGAUUGAGUGGUCCGGUGAGGCUUUGGGAUCUGAGCGGAAAGAGCGUUUCGCUGUUUCUGCUCGGAAAACUCAGUCGAACCUUAUCAUUUAGAGGAAGGAGAAGUCGUAACA